rnacentral:lncRNA from 1 species
GGGUGCAGGAGUUGGGGGUUUAUAUGGGGGAGUAGGAGCCUCGACUGGGGGUGUGGGAGUUGGGGGUUUGUACGGGGGAGUAGGAGCCUUGACUGGAGGUGCAGGACUUGGGGGUUUGUACGGGGGAGUAGGAGCCUUGACUGGAGGUGCAGGACUUGGGGGUUUGUACGGGGGAGUAGGAGCCUUGACUGGAGGUGCAGGACUUGGGGGUUUGUACGGGGGAGUAGGAGCCUUGACUGGAGGUGCAGGACUUGGGGGUUUGUACGGGGGAGUAGGAGCCUUGACUGGGGGUGUAGGAGUUGGGG